CCAACGGCCCUCUUUAGGGCCACAAAUCUCAUCGAAUACUGGUGGU
rfam:Ancylostoma duodenale strain Zhejiang A_duodenale-1.0_Cont21454.1, whole genome shotgun sequence.